GCCCGUGUAGCAAAGUGGUAUUGCGCUUCCCUUCUAAGGAAGAUGUCCAGGGUUCGAACCCCUGCUCGGGUG